rnacentral:rRNA from 1 species
GACGAACGCUGGCGGCGUGCUUAACACAUGCAAGUCGAACGGAGAUUUUUAUUUCGGUAAGAAUCUUAGUGGCAAACGGGUGAGUAACGCGUAGGCAACCUGCCUUUCCGAUGGGGACAACAGUUCGAAAGGACUGCUAAUACCGAAUGAUGUAUAUCUUCCGCAUGGAGGACAUACCAAAGACGGCCUCUAUUUAUAAGCUGUCACGGAAAGAUGGGCCUGCGUCUGAUUAGCCAGUUGGCGGGGUAAUGGCCCACCAAAGCGACGAUCAGUAGCCGGUCUGAGAGGAUG